rnacentral:rRNA from 1 species
AGUGAACGCUGGCGGUAGGCCUAACACAUGCAAGUCGAACGGCAGCACAGUAAGUGCUUGCUCUUACGGGUGGCGAGUGGCGGACGUGUGAGGAAUACAUCGGAAUCUACUUUUUCGUGGGGGAUAACGUAGGGAAACGUACGCUCAUACCGCAUACGACGCACGGGUGAAAGCAGGGGAUCUUCUGACCUUGCGCGAUUGGACGCGCCGAUGUCGGAUUGGCUAGUUGGAGGGGUAAAGGCCCACCUGGGCGACGAUCGGUAGAUGGUCUGAGAGGAUGAUCACCCGCACUAGAGCUGAGACACGCACCCUACUCCUGCGGGAGGGACCAGAGGGGAAUAUUGGACAAUAGGCGGAAGCCUGAUCCAACCAUACCGCGUGUGUGGAGGAAACCUCGAGGUUGUAAAGCCCUUUUCUUGGUAAAGAAAAGCAGCAGGUUAUUACCCCGCUGUUCUGACGGUAACCAGAGAAUAAGCACCGGCUAACUUCGUG